UACGUAGGGUGCAAGCGUUGUCCGGAAUUAUUGGGCGUAAAGGGCUCGUAGGCGGUCCAUCGCGUCGGGAGUGAAAAGCUGGGGCUUAACCCCAGUCCUGCUUCCGAUACGGGUGGACUAGAGGUAGGUAGGGGAGAUCGGAAUUCCUGGUGUAGCGGUGAAAUGCGCAGAUAUCAGGAGGAACACCGGUGGCGAAGGCGGAUCUCUGGGCCUUACCUGACGCUGAGGAGCGAAAGCAUGGGGAGCAAACAGGAUUAGAUACCCUGGUAGUCCAUGCCGUAAACGUUGGGCGCUAGGUGUGAGGGACAUUCCACGUCCUUUGUGCCGCAGCUAACGCAUUAAGCGCCCCGCCUGGGGAGUACGGCCGCAAGGCUAAA
rnacentral:rRNA from 1 species